UUUGCAAUGAGUUUGAGCGGUGACCACACUGUGAGCCUGAAAGAGAUCAAUGAUUGCUCAUAUUUUAACCAAACCAGCACUUGAUACAAGGAAAUACAAUGAAGUUUAGAAGAGAAACUGAAUGGUCAUGUACAAGUUUCAGAUCUCCAGUUGCUAUGUUCAAGGUCAUAAUCAGUCAAAAUAAAAGAGGAAAUCACUAAUUUCCUAAAUGAAGAUGUUUGUUUUUUGCGCUGGCAUUGAAGAAUAUUCAAAUUACGGAGAAUUCCAGUGCAAAGUGCUUCCUGUGAUAAAAGAUGCAAAACUCCUACCAGCCCUUGCUUGGUUGCCUAUUCCCUCAGCAGGAAGUUUCCUUGGUGUUGGUAAGGGGAUUCUUUGAUCAAAGGAAUUGGACAUGACCUUCCACUGGAUCAAAUCUUAUUGCUACCCAUUUUCCCAGGCUGAAGGCAUCCACCAUGUGGCCUGCAGGCUGAAUGCAGUCUACUCGAGUGCUGCCUGUCUUGAGAUUUUUACAAAGUUUUUUACCUAAUUAGCUAGUACACAUGAACCUCUAGGACGGUACAUUCUCUACUAUAAAACUUCUAAAUCAAACAUUACACUUGCAACUGUCCAUCUUUGUACUAUUAAAUCUGAUUAAUGUUUUAUUUUUUAUUACUGCUAAAAAUCCAUUUUGAAUAACUAAAAUGUCAAACCUCACUGUUUUCAAACACCUCACCCACUGCACAUAUGUAUAUGUGGAUUUCUGAUUAUGUUGCCCACUACAAAAAAAAAAAAAAAAAAAAAAAAAACUUAAUGCAGUUUUAUCUUGUCCAUUCAUAUGUAUAUAUGACCCUUAUAUUAGUAUUUUUAACAUGCUUAUUAAAAGAAGGGGUAUAAACUUUGUGAAAUUAUAUGGUCAGAAUUUUUAAAAGAUAGAGUAUCAUACAAAGUCUUCAUAACUGUUAUAGUUUCAGGUCACCUUUGAUAACUUGCAUGGAAAUUGAACAAAUGUUUUGUUUAUCCUUUAUACCUACUACCCUUGAGCUUUCUUGGUAGAUAUAAAAAAUAAUUUGUGAAAAUCUUGCUUGAUAAUGUAACACUGAAAAUCAAGGAGUAUAUACUGUGGAACUCAAAUUAAAGUCUCCAGCAUGGAAGUCCUUCACUCUACCAUAGAAACCAUGAAUACCUGCAAUGUUUCUUAAUCCAUAACUCUUACUGAAUAUACAGGAGGCCUUCCACAUUCG